rnacentral:rRNA from 1 species
UACGAAGGGGGCGAGCGUUGUUCGGAUUUACUGGGCGUAAAGGGCGCGCAGGCGGUUCUGUUUGUCGAGUGUGAAAGCCCCGGGCUCAACCUGGGAACUGCGCUCGAAACGGCGGAACUAGAGUUCGGGAGAGGAGAGUGGAAUUCCCAGUGUAGAGGUGAAAUUCGUAGAUAUUGGGAAGAACACCGGUGGCGAAGGCGGCUCUCUGGACCGAUACGUGACGCUGAGGCGCGAAAGCGUGGGGAGCAAACAGG